ACCCGCAGCCCAUGCUGCCGAGCCACUCUGCCUCCCGCCGCUGAGCCUGCGCCCACCCCCAAGCACUCAAAAUGUGGCACAACGUGGGGCUGACUCUGCUGGUGUUCGUGGCCACGCUGCUGAUCGUCCUGUUGCUGAUGGUGUGCGGUUGGUAUUUUGUAUGGCAUCUGUUUUUAUCUAAAUUCAAGUUUCUGCGGGAGCUGGUGGGAGACACAGGAUCCCAGGAAGGAGAUAAUGAGCAGCCUUCAGGGUCUGAAGCAGAAGAAGACCCUUCGGCUUCCCCACACAAGAUGAGAUCUGCUCGUCAGCGAAGGCCGCCGGUUGACGAUGGCCACUGAGUGGAGAGUGAGCAGCAGCUUCCGAGUGUGGUCUGGGGCAGUUAUGAGCUCCGUCCUUAGUGACCUAGCUUCGAAAGUUACUAAGUGACCAAGGAACAUUUGCAAUUGGAUUUAUAUCCAGUUAAACAAAAGAUUUACACGUAAGCCAUAUAGAAAUAAAAGGGAAUUUAAACCAAAUUGGGCCAUCGCAG
rnacentral:lncRNA from 1 species